rnacentral:rRNA from 1 species
UACGGUAGGGUCCAAGCGUUGUCCGGAUUUAUUGGGCGUAAAGAGCGCGUAGGCGGUCCGAUAAGUCGGCUGUGAAAGUCCAGGCUCAACCCUGGAAAGCCGGCCGAUACUGUCGGACUAGAGUCCGGAAGAGGCAAGUGGAAUUCCCGGUGUAGCGGUGAAAUGCGCAGAUAUCGGGAGGAACACCAAUGGCGAAAGCAGCUCUUUGGGACGGUACUGACGCUGAGACGCGAAAGCGUGGGGAGCGAACGAGG